CAGAAGAAGCUGGUGAAAGUCAUCAUCAAGGAGUUCGGUGGACUGUUCAACAUCAUUAUCAGAGACAUUCACUUUCAUCAUUGCCGUGCGUCGAUAAGAUUGCCUAGUUGCUGUUGGCUUUGAUUCACUAUACCUGCGCUGUAAAUCCUGUGUUGAUACAGCACUGAGACGAGAGCAGACACACAAGGAGACGGUAACUUCAAGACAGCCCUUGGGACAAAUUGCAGCCAGGUACUCAGUUUGACAGGAAACGAAAAGAUCACCUGAUUAAAGAACUCCUGCAGCAGGCAGUCCAGCCAUGGUUCUGCCACGUCCAUGGGCCGAGCCUCAUUGGAGAUAUCGCUCACUUUGACCAGGAUCUUCAUAAGCUGUGGUAGUUGGACAAAGUCCGAAGCAGGGCAAUGGCAAGUGUUAGCAGCAAGCUCAAAGAAAUGAGCCAAUUGCUUAUGGUAUAUCAAGGUAACUCCUGUUUCAGAACAGCUCAGUGUUACAGCCGGAGUUGUAUCGGAAGCGCCGGAUCUGCCACUUCAUUCUAAUGCAGGCUGC